rnacentral:rRNA from 1 species
AGUGAACGCUGGCGGUAGGCCUAGCACAUGCAAGUCGAACGGCAGCACAGUAAGAGCUUGCUCUUACGGGUGGCGAGUGGCGGACGGGUGAGGAAUACAUCGGAAUCUACUUUUUCGUGGGGGAUAACGUAGGGAAACUUACGCUAAUACCGCAUACGACCUACGGGUGAAAGCAGGGGAUCUUCGGACCUUGCGCGAUUGAAUGAGCCGAUGUCGGAUUAGCUAGUUGGCGGGGUAAAGGCCCACCAAGGCGACGAUCCGUAGCUGGUCUGAGAGGAUGAUCAGCCACACUGGAACUGAGACACGGUCCAGACUCCUACGGGGGGCAGCAGUGGGGAAUAUUGGACAAUGGGCGCAAGCCUGAUCCAGCCAUACCGCGUGGGUGAAGAAGGCCUUCGGGUUGUAAAGCCCUUUUGUUGGGAAAGAAAAGCAGCAGGUUAAUACCCCGCUGUUCUGACGGUACCCAAAGAAUAAGCACCGGCUAACUUCGU